GGAGAGCAAUACAGGAAGAUAGCAAAGGCCAUGGAAUAAUCCAUAAAAUACAACACAUAAAAACACCUGAUGAUUAAUAAAAAUUGGCAUGAGACUUCAGGUAGCACAAUAUUGACUUAACCUAUUGGAGGCUAUGUGACAUGGAAAAGCUGUUAAUCAAGGUUCUAUCAGGAUUUUCUUGUAGAGUCUAGAGUUUGAGACAUGUAAGGUUUUUAUUAUGAGAAGUUGUAACUUUUGUUGACAAGAUAGUGGCUCACAUGUGACCUAAGACACUUCUGCCUCCCUCUUUGGCUGUCAUGAUUUGAUUGGCAAAAUGAGACAAAAUGAAUAUUGUCCUCUGUCAGUUUCAAGUUACACUCAUAAUUAACCAAAGUGAACUAAACUACCAAGAUAUUGACAAAAUUUUUCAGUAAAAAAAAUUCACUGAUGCUGUGGUCACAAUAACAAAGUAAUAUGAAUUACAUUAAUUAUCAAUUGUUUAACUGUGUAACUCCUAAGAUCUGUUUCUUAAUUCUCCCCUUUGGCUGUUACACAUUUCCUUGUAAUUUAGUGAAGAGAAAUUGGUGUUAGUUGGUAA